AGCUGCGUGGUGGGCGCAGAGCGAACUAUUCUUUCGCCUUUUACUAAAGAAUACCGUGCGCCCGCCACUCUAAGCAGCAUACGCUAAUUUUUGGGGCGGCCUUUUUCCCUAGUGAAAGGG